rnacentral:rRNA from 1 species
GAUGAACGCUGGCGGCGUGCUUAACACAUGCAAGUCGAACGGGAUCCCAGGAGCUUGCUCCUGGGUGAGAGUGGCGAACGGGUGAGUAAUGCGUGACCGACCUGCCCCAUACACCGGAAUAGCUCCUGGAAACGGGUGGUAAUGCCGGAUGCUCCAGUUGACCGCAUGGUCCUCUGGGAAAGCUUUUGCGGUAUGGGAUGGGGUCGCGUCCUAUCAGCUUGAUGGCGGGGUAACGGCCCACCAUGGCUUCGACGGGUAGCCGGCCUGAGAGGGCGACCGGCCACAUUGGGACUGAGAUACGGCCCAGACUCCUACGGGAGGCAGCAGUGGGGAAUAUUGCACAAUGGGCGCAAGCCUGAUGCAGCGACGCCGCGUGCGGGAUGACGGCCUUCGGGUUGUAAACCGCUUUUGACUGGGAGCAAGCCCUUCGGGGUGAGUGUACCUUUCGAAU